AUUGAACGCUGGCGGCAUGCCUUACACAUGCAAGUCGAACGGCAGCACGGGUGCUUGCACCUGGUGGCGAGUGGCGAACGGGUGAGUAAUACAUCGGAACAUGUCCUGUAGUGGGGGAUAGCCCGGCGAAAGCCGGAUUAAUACCGCAUACGAUCUACGGAUGAAAGCGGGGGACCUUCGGGCCUCGCGCUAUCGGGUUGGCCGAUCGCUGAUUAGCUAGUUGGUGGGGUCAAGGCCUACCAAGGCGACGAUCAGUAGCUGGUCUGAGAGGACGACCAGCCACACUGGGACUGAGACACAGCCCAGACUCCUACGGGAGGCAGCAGUGGGGAAUUUUGGACAAUGGGCGAAAGCCUGAUCCAGCAAUGCCGCGUGUGUGAAGAAGGCCUUCGGGUUGUAAAGCACUUUUGUCCGGAAAGAAAUCCUUGGCUCUAAUACAGUCGGGGGAUGACGGUACCGGAAGAAUAAGCACCGGCUAACUACGUG
rnacentral:rRNA from 1 species